rnacentral:rRNA from 1 species
GAUGAACGCUGGCGGCGUGCCUAAUACAUGCAAGUCGAGCGAACAGACGAGGAGCUUGCUCCUCUGACGUUAGCGGCGGACGGGUGAGUAACACGUGGAUAACCUACCUAUAAGACUGGGAUAACUUCGGGAAAACGGAGCUAAUACCGGAUAAUAUAUUGAACCGCAUGGUUCAAUAGUGAAAGACGGGUUUGCUGUCACUUAUAGAUGGAUCCGCGCCGCAUUAGCUAGUUGGUAAGGUAACGGCUUACCAAGGCAACGAUGCGUAGCCGACCUGAGAGGGUGAUCGGCCACACUGGAACUGAGACACGGUCCAGACUCCUACGGGAGGCAGCAGUAGGGAAUCUUCCGCAAUGGGCGAAAGCUUGACGGAGCAACGCCGCGUGAGUGAUGAAGGUCUUCGGAUCGUAAAACUCUGUUAUUAGGGAAGAACAAAUGUGUAAGUAACUAUGCACGUCUUGACGGUACCUAAUCAGAAAGCCACGGCUAACUACGUG